rnacentral:rRNA from 1 species
CCUACGGGGGGCUGCAGUAAGGAAUAUUGCGCAAUGGGCGAAAGCCUGACGCAGCGACGCCGCGUGGGGGAUGAAGGUCUUCGGAUUGUAAACCCCUUUCGGGAGGGAAGAUGGAGCGAGCAAUCGUUCGGACGGUACCUCCAGAAGCAGCCACGGCCAACUUCGUGCCAGCAGCCGCGGUAAUACGAAGGUGGCAAGCGUUGUUCGGAUUCGCUGGGCGUGCGUGGAGUGUAGGCGGUAAGGUAAGCGUGAAAGCUUCGGGCCCAACCCGGAAAGCGCAGAGGGUACUGCCAGGCUAGAGGGUGGGAGAGGAGCGCGGAAUUCCCGGGGUAGCGGUGAAAGGCGUAGAGAUCGGGAGGAAGGCCGGUGGCGAAGGCGGCGCUCUGGAACAUACCUGACGCUGAGACACGAAAGCGUGGGGAGCAAACAGGAUUAGAUACCCGGGUAGUC